GCUAUAUUUACAGCGACAGGAUUACAGCGCCCGCUCAAAGUGCGAAGAUUCCGGACCCAGGUAAGUUAUGUCCGACCUGGGUGUGGAAUAUGAAUGGGAGGAGGCAAAUCCGAAUAGACAUCCACCGGCGCUCUUCUAAGUGGGGUGGGUAGGGUAGCACUUCCGGUUAACGGAAGACCACCGGUUACGGCUGCUAAUUGGGCGGACGGAUCCAAGGACGUCCUCUUAUACACUACAUUGUUGGCACGGUUACGUAACUGGACCGAAAAAAGCUGCGUAACAAUUCCCCUCUCCUCAAGUGACGGAAGAAUGGUUUUAAUCAUUAGCUGAUCUCUUUCAAUUUUUCGAUGUUAUUUGGAGACACCCGAAAAAAGGCGAGUUGUGUUUUCUUUCAUAUCUUUAAUAAUACCGCGCCCCGUUCUUGUUUACGUUUGCCGCCGUUACCUAUUUUGGCCCGAGAGGAUAUAAAUAUAACAGAGGAUGGACGGGUGGGUGCGCGAAUUUCUGAAUCUAUUUGUAGAAGUUUAUCAGUCGACCGUCCACUUCGGUCUGCGCUCUUCUCCAGUCUGGCCUAUUGCCAAAAACGCAAUAAGGCAGAAAGUAAAAGAGAACGAUGUAGCAUCUUUUUUCCUGUUAAUAGACUAUCGAAACAUUGCGGCGCCUCUUAAUAAUGUAAACACACUGCUGUUCUCCACUUCCUGGACCCUAAUUGGUGUAUAUCUAUCCGUCAGACCGCCCUCAAGUAUUUUUCCGCCCAUCCGGAUCUUGUAACCGGUAAUUUGGACUUUUUAUAGCAGGUAUAUGAAUCGUCUCACCUCGUGUAUGCACAAUAUAAUCGCUCAAGUACCGAAUUUAAUAAUUCUGUAAUAGUUAAAAAUUAUUCAUUUUUCAUCAUUGGUAUCGCUAGAAACUUUUCAUCGCUGAUUAUAAACGUUUUUAAUUGAUAAUUUUAAAUAAUCAUCGACCAUUUUUAAUCUGUCGAUCUGUUUAUCGAUCCUGAGAUAGGUCCGAUGUUUUCGGUCACUACUAGUUCGCCCUUUAACCAGAUUCGAGCAGCAGAUAGCUUCGGUUAUCCCAUUCUCAUAUCAUUCCAUCGCGGAAAUAUUUCCUGUUUCUUACAGAUAUCCAAUGACUAGUACUCGAUUAUCCGGACAUUUUCCGUCGAUCGUUAAAUUAAUACUACGAAAAGAAUGUAAAAAAUAAGCUAACUGAACCAAUAAAGGGAUUAAUUAUACAGUUAAGCACUUCGCACAAGUGAUGAGCGGUUUAGAAAGUGGACCAGGAAAAGUUCAUUUGUAGUUCUCGCGCGCGUGAUGUAUUUUAAAACCGUUUUCUUUUUUGCACUACUUUUGUUUUCCGUAUUAUUAUUGUAUAUGUUGGCAACAACACAAUCGCCCGGCCGCCCAUAAUAUUUAUGUUUACAGUACGGUACUUAUAUAAUCAUAACCGGAGUCUCCGUGGCGCCAUCUAUCACUAUGUUAGUCUAGUAUCGGAAUGAUGGACUUCCCCUGUAGCUAUGGACGAUAUUAUUUCUUAUUCGAGCCACGUACUACAUCACAUAUAAUUUGCGGACAUUUUAUUAUGUAGAAACCAAAUAAUUCCUAAUAUUUUAAAAUCUAUAAUUAGAUAAAUUUUACUUCUACAAGACUUGUUGUUAUACAGUAUUUAGAGAUUAUAUACCAGCAGUAUUUCUCAAUAUAUUGUAUUCAUACAUCGAUGAUUAUAUUCGAUGUUCUAGCUGAUAAAUUUUUAGUCAAACAUAGAUGUUCCGUCACUCGCGGAAAUUGAGUUAACCAGUGACUAAAUAUCAUUUAUGUCUACAGCAUUUAUUAGUCUAUAAAUAAUUAUAUUUUUCUUGUACUUAAAUUAACAUUUUUGUUUGGGGAUUCCAAAAUGUGCCCGUCAGCGCUCGACAACAUUUUUUUUUUUUUUUUUUUUUUAAUACAAUAACACUUAAUCACGAUAAAUUUGAUCGAUUCAAUUUGAAUGAAAUA
rnacentral:lncRNA from 1 species